rnacentral:rRNA from 1 species
GAUGAACGCUGGCGGCGUGCCUAAUACAUGCCAGUCGAGCGAACGGACGAGAAGCUUGCUUCUCUGAUGUUAGCGGCGGACGGGUGAGUAACACGUGGAUAACCUACCUAUAAGACUGGGAUAACUUCGGGAAACCGGAGCUAAUACCGGAUGAUAUUUUGAACCGCAUGGUUCAAAAGUGAAAGACGGUCUUGCUGUCACUUAUAGAUGGAUCCGCGCUGCAUUAGCUAGUUGGUAAGGUAACGGCUUACCAAGGCAACGAUGCAUAGCCGACCUGAGAGGGUGAUCGGCCACACUGGAACUGAGACACGGUCCAGACUCCUACGGGAGGCAGCAGUAGGGAAUCUUCCGCAAUGGGCGAAAGCCUGACGGAGCAACGCCGCGUGAGUGAUGAAGGUCUUCGGAUCGUAAAACUCUGUUAUUAGGUAAGAACAUAUGUGUAAGUAACUGUGCACAUCUUGACGGUACCUAAUCAGAAAGCCACGGCUAACUACGUG